AGAGUUUGAUCCUGGCUCAGGAUGAACGCUGGCGGCGUGCUUAACACAUGCAAGUCGAGCGAAGCACCUUGACGGAUUUCUUCGGAUUGAAGCCUUGGUGACUGAGCGGCGGACGGGUGAGUAACGCGUGGGUAACCUGCCUCAUACAGGGGGAUAACAGUUGGAAACGGCUGCUAAUACCGCAUAAGCGCACAGUACCGCAUGGUACGGUGUGAAAAGCUCCGGUGGUAUGAGAUGGACCCGCGUCUGAUUAGGUAGUUGGUGGGGUAACGGCCUACCAAGCCGACGAUCAGUAGCCGACCUGAGAGGGUGACCGGCCACAUUGGGACUGAGACACGGCCCAAACUCCUACGGGAGGCAGCAGUGGGGAAUAUUGCACAAUGGGGGAAACCCUGAUGCAGCGACGCCGCGUGAGCGAUGAAGUAUUUCGGUAUGUAAAGCUCUAUCAGCAGGGAAGAAAAUGACGGUACCUGACUAAGAAGCCCCGGCUAACUACGUGCCAGCAGCCGC
rnacentral:rRNA from 1 species